AUGGCGUCUAGAAAGGAACAUGCGAGGACUUUUGUAACCUUUAUUGAAAUGGUAUAUUACCAGGGACUAUGAUAUGUUUGCGGUGUUAAAGAUAUGAUGUAACAACGUGUUAUCUAAAGAACUAUCUCAUUGUUUAUAUCCAAAUCAACAUACAAACCAGUGAAAUCGAGUUGAUGUGUGCAAUUUGACAGUUCGUGAAGAUGAAGCUUAAUAUUUUGAAAUAUAUGACAUACAUGGAAGAAUAAUUUGUAGAUAAAGUAUUUUCCACGAAUUCAACAACAUAAAUCAUGCUACAUUAUGGAGUGGAAGUUCAAUGAUAUUGUGUAAACAUUGUGUAAUUAAAUAUUUGCACACACUUUGGAGUGUAAGCAGAAAACUCAAAACAGUGCGGUCACACAAGUUUAACACGGAUCCUUACAGGAGUUCUAAUGAUGAAGAUUUAUAUUCAUAAAGGUUGCAAGCAAUUACCCUGUGGACAGUUUCAAGGUGUUUGCGGGACUUGGAAAAACACUAUUAGCAGUGACAUUGACCCUAGAGGCUGCAAACGCAAUCCCAUGAAAGUUUAUCAAGGGGUGCCUGUGCCUAUUAGCUGCAUUUUGGCAUGACCCCACCGUGACACCAUCAUGACAUACAUAGUGUUUAAAUGCCAUAAGUGACAUGAGAUAGAAGUGACUUGCAAUUCACAGUCAGACCCAGACAUUGGAAGACUUAUAGAAACAGAGUGAGACAGAAGAGAUUGGGGUGCAGUAUCCUAGCUCUUUGAGAACAGAAACAUGAUCGGUGUAAAGCAUCGAUACUCAGGAUAUAGUAACAUCAGUACCAUUAUAAUUAAAGAAGUUUUAUUAGCGUAAGUGUCAGUGACAAGGGAUUAGUGGCCGCUAUGUAGUAGUUAAAUGGCUUCAAGGGGUCAAAAAUUAGUGACUGCGGCCACGUUAGACAGUUGGCUGCUUAAUGAACGUAAUUUAUUAUAAAACGUACGGGGGAGGGAUUUUGAGUGGCCCGGUAAGGCAGGUGGCCUUUUAAAGCAGGUGACCAUUCAACCAGGUUUGACUGUACUUGUGUAAUAGUUUGGGUCUUUGGUCACUGAGUGCAUACUUCAUUAAAAAUAAACAUUCUUUCUCUACAUACUUGGGAAGGAUAAGAGUGGCAAAAAGCUUAUAUCGGUAGCCUCUCUAAAAUAACACUAUCUGUGCAUAUUUCCCACAACUUAAAAACCAACAGGUAUAACGAAAAGAGAAAACCUUACUUUUUAUAAUUUACUAUCAUUUUAUUGAGAUAAAGUAUUUUCAAAAUUGCCACACUAUUUUUAACACUGGGGAUAUCUUGUGUAUGAUAUGCAGUCACAGUGAUUGCAAUUCUAGUUUGUAAGGAAAAGUGAUUUGCAUUCAUUAAGUAUUUGCCAACUCAUGUUGCAAAAACAAUGCAACGUACACUUUAUAGCUCAUUAACCGUGUGUAUAGAACACUUUUCAUCUUAGUCUGCGCUAGGUUUUGUUAAAUUAAUAAUCAAACAAACAAGAGCUGCCGCAGCACAGCACGCUCGACUAUAUGCCACUUUGUCUUAGCAAUUCAGUACUAACCAUUUUUCUAUUUUAAGUAAUAGUGACCUUGACCUUGACCAUGAUUCUCGGGGUCCCAAACACAAUCCUAUGAAUGGUCUCUAUAAACAUUUUCUAUCUACUAUGUUUAGUCACAAUAUUAAUAUAUAACUUAAAUUAUUCAGACAAACCAUUUUUAUAUUUUUAGUAACAGCGACCUAGGGGCACCAAAUGUUAUCCCGUGAAAGGUCUUCAUAAACUCUUCCUAUGUAUAAAGUUUGGUUACAAUACGUCAAACCUAACUAAAAUUAUUCGAUACCAUAGGUGAGUUUGAUGCCGCCCUCCUGCUGGCCGCCCGAACAUCGACUUAUAUCAUUUUUAUGACCGGGUUUCACUCUUUCACUUUGUGAAAACAUGGUUGAAAAUAUAAAAACAUGCCUGUCAAUAGCCAAAACAUUUUUUAAUAAAAAUUAACUUUUUUAAUCGAUCAAGGGCUAUAAAUUGUAUUUAGGAUAAUAUGGAGUUAUGAAACCUAAUUGUGUGAUGGCAAUAACUGUGUGAAUUAUGAAGCCAAUUAUAAAAGCACCGGCUAGUCUCAAUCAUGCAGCCGCUCUAAUUAGAGUCAAUGAACGAUAUUAUUUAAGACCCGCAUAUACAAGCGUCUAGAUGCUCGGGACUAAAUUGGCAACAUGAAAACAUUUAUUUCACUUCCUGAUUCUUAAAAAUUAUGUCAACAAAUGACAAUUCUACCACCAUUUAAAGUUUGAUUAAAUUUUGGACAAAUGUGUUGGUUUAAUUGGGCUCCCGCUAAAAGUAAACAUAUAUAUAUAUACUGGGCAAGAAGUGCUGAAUUUUAUCGUGAAUGACAGUGAUUAUCCGAAGUUUGAAUUUGGUUCGGACAUGUUUGACGGGAAUUCGGAUGACCGUUACAGUGGAAAGACAGUUUCCAAUCGGUCAUCUAUACCUACUACACCUGUCCAGGUUUAAAAAUUCAGAUUCCUCCGACGCAGCGGAUCAUGAAAUUCCCGUCCCCAUGAGGCAAUGAGGGCGUGCUUGUGGUGGAGGCCUUGGUCGCCGAUGAGUCAAUGUUUGUGGACAGUAGGAUGACGCCAAAAAUUAACCCGACUGACAUUCAUAUGUGCUUCAUGCAAUCCCAUGAGUUUUACCAUUCACACAAAAACAUCAAACAAGCCGGAUUGUGUAUAUUUUAUUAGUCAAAAAGGAUAAAAGAAAUAGUGUCAGACUGUGUGAUUGGAAAAAGGUAUUAAUCACACUUUGUGUUGCGAAUAAAUGUUUGUAGAUUUUUUAGAUGUUCACGUGUAUAUUUAAACUAUAUAUGGAAAUCAUUCAAGUGUUAAAUGUUUAUGCUGAUUGGUUUUUGUCUAUGAAAAAAUAUUGCAUAUUCUUGUAUUGUCUUGAAAUAUUUUUUGCUAUAUAUGAAAAUUGACACAAUGAGUAUUUGCAGUACAACAGAAGUAAAAGUGUCUUUUGUAUGUAUGUUUAUGUUUACUAUUACUUGUCUAAAUUUGAACAAGAUAUCUAAAAAAAAUUAAGGAAAAUCUGCAAGUUUAAAAAAGAUAGGCGUUAAAUUCUGAGAAAACCUAAAAUCAAUCUGGCGCUGGCUGGAAUUUUCUGUGUCAUAUUUGGUGCUGAAAUGGUUAACAAUACGGUGUAGUUUUUUGUAAAUUCUCUUCCAGAACUUAGAUGGCUACCAAGGCCAAUUGUGUAGUCAAAGCAAGAGUGAUAGCUGUAGUUUAUAUUUGAUUUCAAAUGCCUAUAUUCAUUUUGCGAGUUAUUUUUCAAGUCACCUUGUCUAGUCAUUUCCAUGGCAUGAGAUAUGACAAUGUAUUUUAAUAGAGAAUUAUUUUUUUACCAAGUUUUCCUAAGGAAAAGAGGAAAACCUAUUUAUAGAUUUGGAUAUGCCAUUGGGCAGGCAGGUGGCUGUCAGGGGCGUAGCUUCCUAUAGGCCGUGUAGGUCGCGGCCUACACAAUUUUCAGAAAAUAAUAAUAAUAAUAAUGCCAAAUCUGCAAUAAAACUUAAUUAAUAUAUCGGAAACCAGGUAUUUCAAAUCUAUCGUUUUCAUUUUCACUAAAAUACACAUUCAUACGACAUUAAUGUUACGUAUAUAAGUUGUCGAAAUAUGCAUACCAGUAGUCUGCACUUUGAUGCUGUUCAUUACAUAAAAUAUUCAUUUACGGUAAAGCAUAUUGAUAUCGUUACUCUCAUUAAUGUUUUUACAACAAAGAAAUAUAUGCUAAAACACACCCAAGACCACCUAGCUUAAACGAAAUCCCGGGGAUGCAUGCCCUCGUGACCCCCCCCCCUCCUCAGAAAGUGGCCUACACAUAUACUUUCGUCAAGCUACGCACUUGGCUGUGACCAUUGGAGCUUGUGUCCAGGCUCUUAGCCAUGCAUAGGGUAUUUUGGAAAAACUUUUCAAAGAGGUUUAAAAAUAACUGGAAAACUGUGGUUUUGAGUUCUCUCAUUUAUGAAAUAGUUUAAAGAAAUACAUUUGCUUGAUCUCAAAUAGCAUUUGUUUGAUCUCAAAUCUAAUAUUUGUAUAGAAUUAUCUUUAAGUGUUAUCAUUCUUUCACUGGAUGUUAUCCUUGUACUGUUUACAAUAUCAUUGUUUAAUUAAUAAGUGAUAAAAUGUGAGCAAAAGUGAGUUAAAUGACUAUAUAUAUUUGUUCUCUCUUCGCUCGCUCCUCUUUUUUGCUAAAUGCAAAACAAAUAUUUCAUUAUUAUUUCGCUCCCUCGCCCCAUUAUUUUUUAGAAAAAAUCCGAUGAACAAGUUAUCAAUUUGGUGUGGCCUAAUAUGGAGGUAUGUUACUUCAAUGAGUGAUGGUCCUGAACAGCUGUGUGAAGUAUAACCAUAAAUCACUGUGUAUAGGACACACUUUCCCCCUCAGAAUUUCCACAAAUAAAAUGCCUGUGUCUUAUAUAUAGUAUUAGGCUUUUAACAUUUCUU